rnacentral:rRNA from 1 species
GGAACUGUGAGACAGGUGCUGCAUGGCUGUCGUCAGCUCGUGUUGUGAAAUGUUGGGUUAAGUCCCGCAACGAGCGCAACCCUUAUCCUUUGUUGCCAGCGGUUAGGCCGGGAACUCAAAGGAGACUGCCAGUGAUAAACUGGAGGAAGGUGGGGAUGACGUCAAGUCAUCAUGGCCCUUACGACCAGGGCUACACACGUGCUACAAU